AUGUCUGAAAUUGCUCUGCAAUCUGUAUUAUCUCACUUUUAUAGUUCAUGUGACUCUGGUAAACUAUCUCUAUCAGCUACAUCAACAAUGAGAGGACAAAAAACACAAGAAUACCCGUUCAUGUUCGCAGGGAUGGAUGAGAAAUGCCCAACUUUUUUCCAGUGUGUUGGUAUCACAUUGAGUAUUGAUCAGCCGUGUGGUACUGGUAGGCAGGCAUUCUGGCCAAGAUUCGAGUCAGAAGCUCGAUUCCUGUUGUUAGGAUUCAAGGGGUAA